rnacentral:rRNA from 1 species
CUUGAACGCUGGCGGCAUGCCUUACACAUGCAAGUCGAACGGUAACAGGUCUUCGGAUGCUGACGAGUGGCGAACGGGUGAGUAAUACAUCGGAACGUGCCUAGUAGUGGGGGAUAACUACGCGAAAGAUGGGCCAAUACCGCAUGAGAUCUACGGAUGAAAGCAGGGGAACGCAAGACCUUGUGCCACUAGAGCGGCCGAUGGCAGAUUAGGUAGUUGGUGGGAUAAAAGCUUACCAAGCCGACGAUCUGUAGCUGGUCUGAGAGGACGAUCAGCCACACUGGGACUGAGACACGGCCCAGACUCCUACGGGAGGCAGCAGUGGGGGAUUUUGGACAAUGGGCGCAAGCCUGAUCCAGCAAUGCCGCGUGCAGGAUGAAGGCCUUCGGGUUGUAAACUGCUUUUGUACGGAACGAAAAGCCCUGGGUUAAUACCCUGGGGUCAUGACGGUACCGUAAGAAUAAGCACCGGCUAACUACGUGCCAGCAGCCGCGGUAAAAC